GAAAUAUAUAUAUAUUAAGCUGCUAACUUAAUUUAUAGUGAUUAAAUAUCAUUAAUAUUUCU
rnacentral:tRNA from 1 species